UCACCUCGGAAGGGUCUGGUCUCGGGAUGCAGGAGAUGAAAGGUCUGUGGUUUGCUUGGCACUUCAGACUCUUGCUUACUGCCUCUGAUUUUCUGGCACCUGAAGGUACAGAACUUCACUGAUGUCAGGGAUACCACUGCUUGAACUUUGCUGUUUGCCUGGAUAAGGGGUGCCACGCUCUGGACACCAAGGAAAGUCCCCUGGAAAACAAGGACUAUGGAGAGUCAUCCUGAAACAGCUGUUUCCCAUUGCAGUGCUGCAACUGGCACUUUGGAAAAUAUGGAUACUUCAUGGUUGUUCUGUUGCCAUCCAGGACUUGUCUCAGGAACAAUACAGUAAAGACGUUUUUCAAGGAAGGCUGUUCCAUAAAGUAUGCUAGUAUUUCAGCAGAAGUCUCCUUUUUCUUUUGGUUGUGUAUGAUGCCGGGGAGCAUAACACACUGUCUUAGCGUACUUUUUAUUUUGUUAGCGUAUAGCUUGAAUUGGUUAUGGCCAGCUGUGCGCCUGAGUCUUGGAUAUUCGUGCACAAUGGCUGUGACUGACAGCCAGGAGUCCUCUGUAUUUUCAUGUUGAACAGCUGUGAUAAAUAAAUGACACAAGAUAGUCUAAAAAAUAAUAUUGUUAUUGUGUUUGAAAUGCCUACAUUCUGCUUGCCUAAAUAGGGUGAUGUACUAACAGGACUGUAUCACUUCAUACCAAUUCAUUAUUCAGAGAGGGAUGUAAAAAAUAUGAAUUAAGCAUUCAUUUACAUUUUAAAGUUAG